UUGGGGUAUAGCGUAGCGGUAGCGCAACUGAUUGUUAAUCAGUAGGUCGCUGGUUCGAAUCCAGCUAUCCCAGUCAU
rnacentral:tRNA from 3 species